UAUCAUGAUAUUGUGGUAAAAACAAUUUCACACUGAAGUUGUGCUCAUAGAGUUUUGGUAUUAGUGAUCAUAAACUUUUGCGAUAUGCAACCUUUUUUCUGGUUUUAUUAUAAUAUGUCGCUGUCGUUCACAUUCAUAUUAGUAUUGAUAUUUUUAAUAAAUAUCAAUAUUCAAUUUUGUCAAGGGCAUUGGUGGCGAUCAAAAAAUCCAUCUUCAACACGGAAUUCUCUACAGAAAUUAUCAACGCCAGGAGAAUGUUUGCGAGAAUGUCGAGAUAAUGAAAAACCGAAAUAUUGUUAUUAUUACUUUGUCCUUGAAUAUUAUACGACAAAUAAUUAGUAUGUAUUCAUGUAUUUAUAUGCUCUUUUACAUACAUACACACACACAAACACGCGCUUAACAUAGUUUCAUAUAAUAUAAAUAAAAAAUUGGGAAAAA